CAGCAGCCACGGGAAUACGAGGGGGGCAAGCGUUGUUCGGAUUUAUUGGGCGUAAAGGGUGCGUAGGCGGUUUGGCAAGUCUUGUGUGAAAUCUUCGGGCUCAACCCGAAGCAUGCACGAGAAACUGCCGGGCUUGAGUAUUGGAGAGGUGAGCGGAAUUUCCGGUGUAGCGGUGAAAUGCGUAGAUAUCGGAAGGAACACCUGUGGCGAAAGCGGCUCACUGGACAAUAACUGACGCUGAUGCACGAAAGCUAGGGGAGCAAACAGGAUUAGAUACCCCUGUAGUCCCUGUCUCUUAUAC
rnacentral:rRNA from 1 species